AAGGUUUCAAGCGUCUGUUUUAGUUCUCUUUAUUUACUGGUGUUUGGCUGGAGCUUUACGUUUAACAUGGCAGUGACAUUUUUACCUGAACUGCCAGAAGACCAUCCGGGUCAGGAAGAAUACGGUAGCUGCCAUCCCUCCUUGCCCGUGCCAGCAAGUCCUCCGCUUUCACACGGCUGAUGUCACGAUGGUACCAUGAUGCCAAAGCCAUGGCAAUCAAUGAGAAGAGAAGCGCUCAUGAGAAUAAUCCACAUGAGGUUAUGAGCUCUGCAGAGGGUGCAUUUCCAGCACAAGUUUAUAGUUUUAGGCUUGCAGUUAUGUCGUGGCACCAGUGAUCUCUCUUGCAAGUCAGCAACAUCAAAACCACUGUGGUCUGCUCAAAUAUUUAAAGCCUUUCCGUGAUUCUAGCACUUCCUGGGUCCUUCCUGGUUGCUUCUGGGUCACCCAUGCUCUGAAGGAAGCAGAUAUAAAAAAACAUUCCAGGUUAUUCCACUUCUACACGCCCUCCACUUCUCAGCAAAAGUUUCAGUCCUCCUCCAUCCUGGUAAUGUUCUUCUCUAUAAAGCCCCAGUUUGUUAUUUAGGUUGUGAGCUGCUCCACCCAGGUGUGUGUAUGCAUGUGUGUUGAUCCAGCAAACACUGACCAUCACAGCUGAGCAAGGAAGAGAAGAGAAAGAGGUACAGGGG